GUGCACUUUGCCUAACGGCACGGAGAUCACGGUGAGGAUGAGCGCUGGAGAGGAUCUUUCUCUCUGGGAUAAUAAGGAGAUUUUCCUCAAGGUUGGUGACAGAGAGAUACUGUCUGCUCUCUGUGACAGCAGAUCUGUUUCCACAGUGGUCUUUGUGAUGUCAGUAGUACUUGGAGUUGUCGUCGUGCUUCAGGUGCUGAUACUGGCAGUUUAUUACAAAAAGAAAAAACACCACACGAAAUCAGAGGUGAAAGCAGAUGCCAUGGAACUGGUGUAUACAGAGGUCACGGUCAACAGGAAAAGAAAGAACAGGGUGGAGAAGAUGGGAGAACAGGCUGUGGUGUAUGGGGAUAUUAGAGUCUAACACAAUGCUGACAGUGCCGAGGUCUGUCACAACACAAUGCAGAAAUACUGUAAUCUCUUGGACAACUUGUUAAUUUUUUCAUGUAAAAAUUCUCUUAUACACGGUAUACACAGACUUACAUAAACUUGUUACUUUAAAUUUGUCCAGGGGUGAGCAUGGCAUAGAAGAAAUAACACAAAAGAAAUAAUGCCUUCACACUCAAUGAAAAAAUACAGUACAGUAUACACCAGAUAUAUCUUAAGCUUGACAUAUCUGGUGUAUAUAGAUAUAUGUUCAUUUAAAUCGUAAAUUUGAUUACAGUGACAGCAUAAUACCUUCAUUGUAGAAAGAAAAAAAUCACACUGCAACUAAUAACUGAAUCUGACAAAACAAAGUUAUUGUAAUGUGACUCAAAAAAGGCAGAUACUACAGCGAUAUAAAGCUUCGUUCAGAAAUCUGGCAUUAUUUCAUGGAAAAGAACCCAAGUUAGAAAUAAUUUUUUUUCUAUUGCUUACACCUGGGCCAUCAUUUAAGGAACAAAACACCCACCACAAAGUUGCGGGUAGGAACACAUUCAAGAACACUUCCUAUUGCAAAACGGGUUUGAUUGCAUCUAUUGCUAUUGCACAUUAACUGAAAAUACAGAGCAUGAAUUUUGUC
rnacentral:lncRNA from 1 species